rnacentral:tRNA from 1 species
GCCGAAGUGGUGGAAUUGGUAGACACGCUACCUUGAGGGGGUAGUGGAGAGAUCCGUGCUGGUUCGAGUCCAGUCUUCGGUACCA